AGACCCGAAACCCGGUGAUCUAGCCAUGGGCAGGUUGAAGGUUGGGUAACACUAACUGGAGGACCGAACCGACUAAUGUUGAAAAAUUAGCGGAUGACCUGUGGCUGGGGGUGAAAGGCCAAUCAAACCGGGAGAUAGCUGGUUCUCCCCGAAAGCUAUUUAGGUAGCGCCUCGUGAAUUCAUCUCCGGGGGUAGAGCACUGUUUCGGCUAGGGGGCCAUCCCGGCUUACCAACCCGAUGCAAACUGCGAAUACCGGAGAAUGUUAUCACGGGAGACACACGGCGGGUGCUAACGUCCGUCGUGAAGAGGGAAACAACCCAGACCGCCAGCUAAGGUCCCAAAGUCAUGGUUAAGUGGGAAACGAUGUGGGAAGGCCCAGACAGCCAGGAUGUUGGCUUAGAAGCAGCCAUCAUUUAAAGAAAGCGUAAUAGCUCACUGGUCGAGUCGGCCUGCGCGGAAGAUGUAACGGGGCUAAACCAUGCACCGAAGCUGCGGCAGCGACACUCAGGUGUUGUUGGGUAGGGGAGCGUUCUGUAAGCCUGUGAAGGU
rnacentral:rRNA from 4 species